AGCGGCGGAUGGGUGAGUAACACGUGGGGAACCUGCCCCUAAGUCUGGGAUACCAUUUGGAGACAGGUGCUAAUACCGGAUAAUAAAGCAGAUCGCAUGAUCAGCUUUUGAAAGGCGGCGUAAGCUGUCGCUAAGGGAUGGCCCCGCGGUGCAUUAGCUAGUUGGUAAGGUAACGGCUUACCAAGGCGACGAUGCAUAGCCGAGUUGAGAGACUGAUCGGCCACAUUGGGACUGAGACACGGCCCAAACUCCUACGGGAGGCAGCAGUAGGGAAUCUUCCACAAUGGACGCAAGUCUGAUGGAGCAACGCCGCGUGAGUGAAGAAGGUUUUCGGAUCGUAAAGCUCUGUUGUUGGUGAAGAAGGAUAGAGGUAGUAACUGGCCUUUAUUUGACGGUAAUCAACCAGAAAGUCACGGCUAUCUACGUGCCAGCAGCCGCGGUAAUACGUAGGUGGCAAGCGUUGUCCGGAUUUAUUGGGCGUAAAGCGAGCGCAGGCGGAAAAAUAAGUCUAAUGUGAAAGCCCUCGGCUUAACCGAGGAACUGCAUCGGAAACUGUUUUUCUUGAGUGCAGAAGAGGAGAGUGGAACUCCAUGUGUAGCGGUGGAAUGCGUAGAUAUAUGGAAGAACACCAGUGGCGAAGGCGGCUCUCUGGUCUGCAACUGACGCUGAGGCUCGAAAGCAUGGGUAGCGAACAGGAUUAGAUACCCUGGUAGUCCAUGCCGUAAACGAUGAGUGCUAAGUGU
rnacentral:rRNA from 1 species